UACAGAGGUCUCAAGCGUUGUUCGGAUUCAUUGGGCGUAAAGGGUGCGUAGGCGGCGCGGUAAGUCGGGUGUGAAAUCUCGGAGCUUAACUCCGAAACUGCAUUCGAUACUGCCGUGCUUGAGGACUGGAGAGGAGACUGGAAUUCCCGGUGUAGCGGUGAAAUGUGUAGAGAUCGGGAGGAACACCGGUGGCGAAGGCGGGUCUCUGGGCAAUUCCUGACGCUGAGGCGCGAAAGCGUGGGGAGCAAACGGG
rnacentral:rRNA from 1 species